rnacentral:rRNA from 1 species
AUGUUAAUGUUGUUAGCUUAUUUGGGUUUUGCUUGGAUGGAUCAAAGCGAGCUCUUAUAUAUGAGUACAUGCCCAACGGUUUCGUUGGAUAAGUACAUUUAUUCAGAGCACCCCAAAGAAAUUUUAGGGUGGGAGAGGCUUUAUGCGAUAGCAAUUGGGAUUGCUCGUGGCCUCGAAUACUUGCACCAUAGUUGUAAUACACGCAUCGUCCAUUUCGAUAUCAAGCCCCAAAAUAUCCUUCUAGACAAAGAUUUUAACCCAAAGAUUGCUGAUUUUGGUCUAGCUAAAUUGUGUCAUACAAAGAAGAGCAAGCUUUCAAUGAUUGGAGCUAGAGGAACAAUUGGAUUUAUCGCCCGAGAAGUUCACUCUCGAACCUUUGGGGUGGUUUCAACAAAGUCAGAUGUUUAUAGUUAUGGAAUGAUGCUGCUGGAGAUGGUUGGAGGUAGGAGAAACGUAAAAUCAAUUGUUGCAAAAUCCAGUGAAAAGUAUUUUCCAGAUUGGAUUUAUGACCACUUUGCACAAGAUGAGGGAUUACAAGCAUGUGAUGUUACAAGAGAAAUUGAGGAGAUCGCGAGAAAGAUGAUCAUAAUAGGCUUGUGGUGUAUAUAA